rnacentral:rRNA from 1 species
AUUGAACGCUGGCGGCAUGCCUUACACAUGCAAGUCGAACGGUAGAGUAUCAAUACUCGAGAGUGGCGAACGGGUGAGUAAUAUAUCGGAACGUGCCCAAUCGUGGGGGAUAACGUAGAGAAAUUUACGCUAAUACCGCAUACGAUCUAAGGAUGAAAGCGGGGGGAUCGCAAGACCUCGCGCGAUUGGAGCGGCUGAUA